rnacentral:rRNA from 1 species
GGCUUUGGCCAUGCUUCUGUGAACAAGCCUGAUCCUGUCUGAUAUGGGAUGCUAAGCAGGGUCGGGCCUGGUUAGUACUUGAAUGGGAGACCACCCAGGAAGACUAGGUGCUAUAGGAG